ACCUGCCGUCCGCGGCAACGCUCAAGGCGCCAGCUACAAGCAUCUCACAAGUCGCCUCCUACGUGCAACUCACAAGGCGCCAGCUACAAGCAUCUCCCAAGUCGCCACCUACGUGCAACUCACAAGGCGCCAGCUACAAGCAUCUCCCAAGUCGCCACCUACGUGCAACUCACAUGGCGCCAGCUACAAGCAUCUCACAAGUCGCCACCUACGUGCAACUCACACGGCGCCAGCUACAAGCAUCUCACAAGUCGCCACCUACGUGCAACUCACAAGGCGCCAUCUACAAGCCUCGAGCACACCAGCUAUAAGCAACUCUACGGGCGUCCAGCCUACAAGCCUCGAGCACACCAGCUACAAGCCUACAGGCUCUACAGCCUACAAGCCUCGAGCACACCAGCUUCAAGCAACUCUACAGGCGUCAAGCCUACAAGCCCCGAGCACACCCACAGGCCUACGCAGCCGAUAGCGAGGGCCACAAUCUACAAGCCGCUCCCCCGCUUCAAGCCAGCCAGCACUGCUACGUACCCUGCAAGCCACUCCACGAUACGGCAGAGGUAUUCACACCUGCAACGAGGAGGCACGCCCCGCUGACCUUGGGACACCCCGCAUGCCCCUCGCUCCACAGCUGGCGGCACCACCGCCGCUGCCGGGAGCAUCGGCCCAAACCUCUUCCGGCAAACAGUCAGCAAGGGUACCCGCGGACAUCUCCCGGUGACUGCAAGCUGUUCCACUACCGUUUCUUGCAAGGCGUCUUCUCAAGAGGUUACACACCCAAGUCGUCUUGUCUGCCACCGCCGCCCAUCUCUUCCUAUAACAAGGACGACGCGGCCAUCAUACGUCUGGCGGCUGUGUACCAGCUCCCAGCCGCGCACCGCGGCCGCUCAUUUUGCUGGGUCAGCAGUUUUUCAACCUCCAUUGCGAGUCCUCCGAUGUCAGCCCAUCCCUCACCUCUCACCGCCGCUGUGGCCGCGGCCGAGGUUUCCUGACGCGCCUACAACGACUGCACGUCACCCAGGGCAUCACAGGCCGUCGCCCUCUCCACUACAUCAGCUGAUUAAUCUUGAGAAGAACCGCCGUUCUGCCCUCCCUUUGGCCUUCAAACCGAGCGGGAAGUUGGUUGACUUCUUCUCAGAGUUAGAGGUCAAGGUUCAGGAACACCCUCACCAUCAACCCCUCGCCCCAGCUGCAGCAUUGCAAGCACAAAAUCAUGAUGUUGCGUUUUCUGAUCAUCUUGUUGUCCCUCGGCUCCCUGCUUGCAACAACACCCAUCCACCUGAAGCCUGGUGCCCUCACGGCACACAUAGGAGAGGUCUUCCUCAUAGAAGAUGUGCUCCUCGUAAAAUAUCCAUAUACUUCCUUGACCAACACCACGGACACAAUCAGGAUAGUCUCAGAAAAACUACUCGGCAUGGCAGACGCUAUCCGGGCUACCAAGACUAGGGAAUCAAAGGCUCCUUCUAGUACCAACUCUCUGACUCUUUUUCAACUACUGGAGGAUAGGAUUCUGUUCUUACGGGGAAAAGUUGAUGAGGUAAACAUGGAUUAUAGUUUUCACUCAGUUCACUCUCGGGUAAAGAGGGGGUUGCUCAACAUCGUGGGGUCCGCCUCAAAGUUCCUUUUCGGUACGGCUACCAACGAGGACGUUCGCGAUUUGCGGGACCACUACGCUCAUGUACUUUCCUUUGCUGCUCGAAAUCGCAGGGUGAUCAAUGCCAAUUGUAGAAAACUUGCGCAAUUGCAUACUAACAUUGCGGUACUGCUAGAGCAGACAAAUAAGAUGGUAGAGGUUAUCAACAUAGUUGUCAAACAGAUCGACCAGGUGAAUCAGUUUCUCCUCCUAGAUCAGGCCUUGCAUGUAUUGGAAAACGUCAUUAACUCCGUCGCAGCGGCUAAUCAGCAGGUUAUUAGCAACAUGGUUGAUGCAGCGCACGGUAGAGUCACACCUGCCUUGUUCCCUCUACACGAUUUGAGAACGACUGUCCAGAUCGGGUAUCAAAAUUAUAGCCUGACGCCUUUAUUCACCCCGGACAUGAGUCAAUAUUUUUAUCCCUUG